GACAGAGGGGGCAAGCGUUGCUCGGAAUUACUGGGCGUAAAGGGCGCGUAGGCGGGAUGGCAAGUCGGUCGUGAAAUCCUUCGGCUCAACCGAAGAACGUCGAUCGAUACUGCUGUUCUUGAGGGUUGCAGAGGAGACUGGAAUUCCCAGUGUAGCGGUGAAAUGCGUAGAUAUUGGGAGGAACACCGGUGGCGUAGGCGGCCCUCUGGACCGGUACUGACGCUGAUGCGCGAAAGCGUGGGGAGCAAACAGG
rnacentral:rRNA from 1 species